GACGAACGCUGGCGGCGUGCCUAAUACAUGCAAGUUGAGCGCUGAAGGUUGGUACUUGUACCAACUGGAUGAGCAGCGAACGGGUGGGUAACGCGUGGGGAAUCUGCCUUUGAGCGGGGGACAACAUUUGGAAACGAAUGCUAAUACCGCAUAAAAACUUUAAACACAAGUUUUAAGUUUGAAAGAUGCAAUUGCAUCACUCAAAGAUGAUCCCGCGUUGUAUUAGCUAGUUGGUGAGGUAAAGGCUCACCAAGGCGAUGAUACAUAGCCGACCUGAGAGGGUGAUCGGCCACAUUGGGACUGAGACACGGCCCAAACUCCUACGGGAGGCAGCAGUAGGGAAUCUUCGGCAAUGGACGAAAGUCUGACCGAGCAACGCCGCGUGAGUGAAGAAGGUUUUCGGAUCGUAAAACUCUGUUGGUAGAGAAGAACGUUGGUGAGAGUGGAAAGCUCAUCAAGUGACGGUAACUACCCAGAAAGGGACGGCUAACUACGUG
rnacentral:rRNA from 1 species